CAGGGUUUGAUUCAGAUCUAUACAGUGGAAAAAUGGCAGCAGUCAUUUGAUGGUGAAAUAGCUCAGUCUUAGCUCAUAGGAAAAGUGUGUUUUGAUGGAGAUACAUGUUUUGAUAGAGAGCCUCCCGGGGAGUGAAAGUCAGGCUGUGGACAUAAAAAGGAUGAGCCAAGAAUGACUGGACUGACCAACAUCAUCCGUGUUCUUAACCAAGGACCCCGGUUCAGCUCUCUCUGAAGUAACA